rnacentral:lncRNA from 1 species
GACGCCGCCUCGUGCCAUGGUCACUGGAGACGCACGCCCAUCUUCCCUCCCGGGCCCGUCGAUCCUGCCAUCUUCCGCUCCCGGCCGCUCGUGGGUGUUCGUCAUUUAGACCUUCCCCGUGCUUCAUGGGACGCAAGCCCUCCCCCAGAGUUCGGUUUUGCAAAAGAGGUCUGGAGCCCUCGCUACAGAUCCCCUCCCUGGGCCACGGAGGAUGAGAAGGGUCACCGAGCCGAGCCGUAAUCCUGCGUAACCCCUGACCUCUCUCCUUCCCUGCCCCCACGGCACCCCAUCGUCCCCUCCCCGUCUCCGAGGUCCUCCAGAAAACAGCGCAGAAUUGUGCAGAUGUUUAGGAGAUGUGAAGAUGCUGGAGAUGCUUAGGAGGCGACGGUUACGCGAGGAGAAUUGCUUCCAGGGGUAGUUUCUGCAGAAAGGAGAUUCUCCUCCGGGCCGAAGGGCUACCAGCCUGCAGUCAGUUCAGCCCCGGACCCUGGGAGAUGCUCACCACUCUGCGGAUCUUGAUCCGAAAUCCUUUCUGGCCGCCCACUGCGGAGAGUGUCCUCGUAGAGAGGUUUUCAAUCGAAGGAGCCUGGGCUCCACAUUUUGUCUUCAAGCCUGAGCUUUCAGGGCUGCUUUGCACGAGGUGCAGAUGAACUUGUGUCUGCAAACAAGACAGAAAACCCUAAGUGCCGCCCGACCUUCCUCUUUUGGGGAACCCGCACUUUGUCCUGGGAGCGUGCCCAGCGCCUUAGUACCAAACUUUCUGGCCGGGGCUGGCAGAGCUCAGAGUCCCGCUUCCCCCUAGGCGCGGCCCCCUAACAUCUGUAACCCAAAUGUUGCGCCGCGGCCAAAAUUAGCCCUGGCAGUGCGAACAGAGAACUAAAAGCAGGCAGUGAAUGAGAACAGCUCGCAUUUCUCCUUCCUGGUAGACGGGGAGGUGUAAAUCCCGAGGAAUUCUAGGGCAUUCGCUCCAAACGUGGGAAAUCUUCGCGCGUAUCCCGUUUCUUCCUCCCAGCCUGUGUUAAUGCUCCAAAUGGUGUCGAGUUGCUCAACUUUGCCGUCAUCACAGAGGCUGUUGUGUCUUAGGGGAUUAACUGAUGUGAGACACACAAAACCCUGCAACUCCAUAACAUAAACUAUAGCACAGCCUUUCUGGAGAGGGCUGGAAUAUUUGAGUGAGUUUCCGAGAGGAAAAGAGGAGUUUUUUAGAGGAGAAACAGAGCACUUCUAUAAUGUGCCCUAACUGAGAAAUCUUGUUCUACUGAGCUUUUCUUUAAGUGGAACCAGAAGUGCUGGGAUGAGAGGGAAAGGAUGGGAGUGCGUCCAAAGGUGGACAGCAGGUCCCCAUCCCUGGUGGGAGUGAGACUGGACGGCAUCCCCCGGAAAGGUGGUUUGGGCCUUGGACAAGGCUAGAGGCAGGAGUCCAUGAUGCAGAGAUGACACAGUGCCCCUCCGCGUGUGAGUCCACGAAGGUCACUACUGAGGCUUUGUGCUUGUAAAAGGUCGCCACGCUUCACACAAGCUUCUAUACUCAACACAGGGAUUGAUUGGGUACAGGGAUCCCCCCAUACCAUACAUGUAAGCAUGUAUGUCAAUUAAAGAUGCUCGUGCUAAAGAAACGGCCAACUUUGUUGAACUCAGAGGAACUGAUCAAUCAUUUAACUAAGUAGAGGAAAUGUUUGAAUUUAAUUCGCAAUUUAGUUGCCUUUUUAUAUAAAACUAUAUAUCUUUAUUUAUAUUUGAUGAAUGAAAAAAGAAAUCAGUUCAUGACUUUAACUUAAACAUAUGUUUUUAAAAAUAUAUUUCCCCCAGCUUAGCCAGUAUAUAAACUAAUUGAGUUCUCCUGGUUAAGCAUGAUUCAGUUGUGAUAUUUAAGAGCGGGAGUGGUUGUUUAGAUAUUUUCUUCCUCACGUGAAACCUAGACUAAUGAGUUAUCAUCUAACAAGCUGUAGGUAGUUUGGCUGGGCUGGAUCCAGAUGGUUUGAGUUAAAUCUAGAUUGUACUUGCCU